GACGAACGCUGGCGGCGUGCUUAACACAUGCAAGUGGAGCGACGAACCGGGGCUUGCCCCGGGGCAAAGCCGCGAACGGGUGAGUAACACGUGGGUAACCUACCUCGAUGACCGGGACAACCCGAGGAAACUCGGGCUAAUACCGGAUGUGUUCCGUCUUCGUAAGGAGACGGAGGAAAGAUAGCUUCGGCCUUCGCAUCGAGACGGGCCCGCGGCCCAUUAGCUUGUUGGUGGGGUAACGGCCUACCAAGGCUGCGAUGGGUAGCUGGUCUGAGAGGACGAUCAGCCACACUGGGACUGAGACACGGCCCAGACUCCUACGGGAGGCAG
rnacentral:rRNA from 1 species